ensembl:snoRNA small nucleolar RNA, C/D box 114-15
CGGAUCAAUGAUAACUGUUAGUGUAGGAGUCAUGCACUAUCAAUGAUACAUGUCUGGACCGCUGAGGUCCAA